GAAUUGGAAAUUCUGGGGCUGGACCACUGCAACCUGCAGUUUCACCAGGCUUCGAGGUAGACCUGAUGUUCAGAAACCAUAAACAAGGUCUUCGGGCUCUUCACAAACCAUCCCUAUCCUCCUGUUUGACCUGACAUCGCUCUUGAAAGCCCUCAAAGAACAGCCUCAAAGAACACAGCCUCGAAGGGAAGGGCCAUAUUUGUGGGCCUGUCUAACAAUUAAGAGUGACCACAUGGAAUGGGGGAUGAAAGGGUUAAAGAAGAACAAAUAUUGAACACAGCUUUUCUAUGAACAAACUGCAGGCAGCUGCUGCUUUGCAAGAAAAACCCUUUGAAAAGAUUCAGCACGUUGCCAUGGAGAACAUCCCACUGAAGGAAUGUAUAGAAGUAGCAGGUGUCAGCUGCCUACCAGUUGCUUUCAUCUCUAGAAAUCUGUGACUUGCAGUAUGACAAGAACAAAAGGUGACAAUACAAAGGACAAAGGGCAAGGAAUACAGACGGAGAAGCCGCUUAGAGUCUAGGAUGGCAGAGGUUCUCUUGAUCAUUUCAUUUUUGAGCGCUUGUAGAGCUUUGGUGUACCAGAGGUGCUUGAACAGCUUACCACACCACAGAUGAAUGGCCUUUGGAUUUCUCCUAAGAAAAUGUGGCUACCUGAAAUUCAACUCCAUUUUCUGGUCUUCAAUAUUUCUUUUGUGUUCAGUUUGCCAGCUGAGGAGAAGUGGCUAAGCAUAGCCUGUUACUGAUGCUAAAGCCCAAGUUCUGAACCUAACAACUCCAGCAACAUGAUCCUGUUUCAAGAGACAAAAAAGUGACUAAUGAAAGAAAACAAUUGAUGUGCUAUGUAGAGUUUAAAAGAAGGUAAAGAGAAUAAAUUAAAAGCAACAACUCUC
rnacentral:lncRNA from 1 species